GGUUGAUCCUGCCAGUAGUCAUAUGCUUGUCUCAAAGAUUAAGCCAUGCAUGUCUAAGUAUAAACAACUUUAUACUGUAAAACUGCGAACGGCUCAUUACAUCAGCAAUAAUUUAUUUGAUGAUUUCUUACUACAUGGAUAACUGUAGUAAUUCUAGAGCUAAUACAUGCGCAAAGUCCUGACUCGCGAGUAUACAAAACCAAUGCGGGCUCUGCUCGCCAUUGUGUUGAAUCAUAGUAACUUAUCGGACGCCAUAGCCUUGUGCUGGGCGUAGAUCAUUCAAAUUUCUGCC
rnacentral:rRNA from 1 species